UACGUAGGGUGCGAGCGUUGCCCGGAUUUAUUGGGCGUAAAGGGCGCGUAGGCGGCCACGCACGUCCGUUGUGAAAUCGCCCGGCUCAACUGGGCGGGGUCAGCGGAUACGGUGUGGCUAGAGCAAGCUAGGGGGCAAUGGAAUUCCCGGUGUAGUGGUGGAAUGCGUAGAUAUCGGGAGGAACACCAGUGGCGAAGGCGGUUGCCUGGAGCUUUGCUGACGCUGAUGCGCGAAAGCGUGGGGAGCAAUCCGG
rnacentral:rRNA from 1 species